GUAGGGAAUAUUGCGCAAUGGACGAAAGUCUGACGCAGCGACGCCGCGUGAGUGAUGAAGGCCUUAGGGUCGUAAAGCUCUGUUGAAUGGGAAGAAAAAAAUGACGGUACCAUUCGAGGAAGGACCGGCUAACUUCGUGCCAGCAGCCGCGGUAAUACGAGGGGUCCUAGCGUUGUUCGGAAUCAUUGGGCGUAAAGGGUGUGUAGGUGGCCAUGUAAGUCAGGUGUGAAAGCCCCGGGCUCAACCCGGGAAGUGCACUUGAUACUGCGUGGCUUGAGUACCGAAGAGGGUAGUGGAAUUCCAGGUGUAGUGGUGAAAUACGUAGAUAUCUGGAGGAACACCGGUGGCGAAGGCGGCUACCUGGUCGAGUACUGACACUGAGACACGAAAGCAUGGGGAUCAAACAGGAUUAGAAACCCCUGUAGUCC
rnacentral:rRNA from 1 species